CCAGACUCCUACGGGAGGCAGCAGUGGGGGAUAUUGCACAAUGGGGGAAACCCUGAUGCAGCGACGCCGCGUGAGCGAUGAAGUAUUUCGGUAUGUAAAGCUCUAUCAGCAGGGAAGAAAAUGACGGUACCUGACUAAGGAGCCCCGGCUAACUACGUGCCAGCAGCCGCGGUAAUACGUAGGGGGCAAGCGUUAUCCGGAUUUACUGGGUGUAAAGGGGGCGCAGACGGCGAUGCAAGCCAGGAGUGAAAGCCCGGGGCCCAACCCCGGGACUGCUCUUGGAACUGCGUGGCUAGAGUGCAGGAGGGGCAGGCGGAAUUCCUGGUGUAGCGGUGAAAUGCGUAGAUAUUAGGAGGAACACCAGUGGCGAAGGCGGCCUGCUGGACAGUAACUGACGUUGAGGCUCGAAAGCGUGGGGAGCAAACAGGAUUAGAUACCCGAGUAAC
rnacentral:rRNA from 1 species